GCUAACUCCUGGCAAGCAGCACGGGGAAGACGGGGGGUGCAAACGUUAAUCGGAAUGACUGGGCGUAAAGAGCAUGUAGGCAGAUUAAUAAGUUUGAAGUGAAAUCCUAUAGCUUAACUAUAGAACUGCUUUGAAAACUGUUAAUCUAGAAUGUGGGAGAGGUAGAUGGAAUUUCUGGUGUAGGGGUAAAAUCCGUAGAGAUCAGAAGGAAUACCGAUUGCGAAGGCGAUCUACUGGAACAUUAUUGACGCUGAGAUGCGAAAGCGUGGGGAGCAAACAGGAUUAGAUACCCCGGUAGUC
rnacentral:rRNA from 1 species